CGGUCCACAAUGCUUUGUGAAAUAAGCUUGACACGUUUCGUCUUGUCCAGACUUUCUCAGAAGCGCAAAACAUGUCAAGCUUAUUUCAUAAAGCAGUGUUGAUUGUUUUUAGGU